AACAUAGAUACACUAACCUCUAGAAGGACACCUUAACAUUGGUAAGGGGAAGAAAUACAAAUAAGAAAAGGGGGAGAAACUCCUAUUAAAUAUGCAUUAGACAUGGUAACGUCAGUGUAACAUAUAAAAGUGGCAUCCCAGGGCAAUAGGGGAGCCCUUAGGAAGGGCCAGAAUGGUGCCUACCAGUGAAGAUGAGGAAGGUGAUAGUGAUGAAGAGAUUGGCCAACAUUUCAGGUUGUUCUGCAAGGGAUGGUCACAAAGUCCUCACAAGCCCUCAUCCGGUGAGAUGCCAAAGCUGGAAUCCUGAUGGUGAUGUCACACAUACUAUUGAACCCUACUGGAUUUUCAAGCCUGCCUAUAAUAUUAAGCACUGAACACAAUGUCAGCAAGACGAGAGACAAACUAUGCAAUGAUGAUGUUUAAUGUAAUUUGGAAGAAAAGCAGCAGUGCAUAAUGAAGAAGGUUCUCUUUGUUGCAAAGUAGCAUAAUGCUUUAAUGAUGAUUUCUUUUUUUCUCUCCACAAAGUAAUAUUUUGCUACGAAAGCACAUAUGUCUGGAAAUCACUUGUUCAGAUCUCAUUACUGCAUGAAAAAUAUACCACAUUGCAUUCAGCACCUUGGUAUUAAAGUUUAUGGUG